rnacentral:rRNA from 1 species
AGUGGCGAACGGGUGAGUAACAUAUCGGAACGUAUCCAAUAAUGGGGGAUAACUAAUCGAAAGGUUGGCUAAUACCGCAUACGCCCUACGGGGGAAAGCAGGGGAUCUUCGGACCUUGCGUUAAUGGAGCGGCUGAUAUCUGAUUAGCUAGUUGGUGAGGUAAAGGCUCACCAAGGCGACGAUCAGUAGCUGGUCUGAGAGGACGACCAGCCACACUGGAACUGAGACACGGUCCAGACUCCUACGGGAGGCAGCAGUGGGGAAUUUUGGACAAUGGGCGCAAGCCUGAUCCAGCCAUUCCGCGUGAGUGAAGAAGGCCUUCGGGUUGUAAAGCUCUUUCGCAAGGGAAGAAAACUUACUUUCUAAUAAAGAGUGAGGUUGACGGUACCUUGAUAAGAAGCACCGGCUAACUACGUGCCAGCAGCCGCGGUAAUACGUAGGGUGCGAGCGUUAAUCGGAAUUACUGGGCGUAAAGCGUGCGCAGGCGGUUUUGUAAGUCAGAUGUGAAAUCCCCGAGCUCAACUUGGGAACUGCGUUUGAAACUACAAGACUAGAAUAUGUCAGAGGGGGGUAGAAUUCCACGUGUAGCAGUGAAAUGCGUAGAGAUGUGGAGGAAUACCAAUGGCGAAGGCAGCCCCCUGGGAUAAUAUUGACGCUCAUGCACGAAAGCGUGGGGAGCAAACAGGAUUAGAUACCCUGG